GAUGAACGCUGGCGGCGUGCCUAAUACAUGCAAGUCGAGUGAACAGAUGAGGAGCUUGCUCCUCUGACGUUAGCGGCGGACGGGUGAGUAACACGUGGAUAACCUACCUAUAAGACUGGGAUAACUUCGGGAAACCGGAGCUAAUACCGGAUAAUAUAUUGAACCGCAUGGUUCAAUAGUGAAAGACGGUUUUGCUGUCACUUAUAGAUGGAUCCGCGCCGCAUUAGCUAGUUGGUAAGGUAACGGCUUACUAAGGCAACGAUGCGUAGCCGACCUGAGAGGGUGAUCGGCCACACUGGAACUGAGACACGGUCCAGACUCCUACGGGAGGCAGCAGUAGGGAAUCUUCCGCAAUGGGCGAAAGCCUGACGGAGCAACGCCGCGUGAGUGAUGAAGGUCUUCGGAUCGUAAAACUCUGUUAUUAGGGAAGAACAAAUGUGUAAGUAACUAUGCACGUCUUGACGGUACCUAAUCAGAAAGCCACGGCUAACUACGUG
rnacentral:rRNA from 1 species